rfam:Acinetobacter populi strain PBJ7 Contig3, whole genome shotgun sequence.
CAAAAAGUGAUCUAGGGUUCCGAUGUUGCAAUGAUCAACAUGACUGGACCGAGAGAUGACGGUUCGUAAGAACUACACGGAGGGAUAAAAGCCCGGGAGGU